GGAAAUGUAGCUCAAUGGUAGAGUACUUGCUUAGGAUGUAUGAGAUCCUGGGUUUGAUCCCCAAUACCCA
rnacentral:tRNA from 1 species